GCAAACUUGGUCAUUUAGAGGAAGUAAAAGUCGUAACAAGGUUUCCGUAGGUGAACCUGCGGAAGGAUCAUUAUUGUGAACCGGGGCGGCGCGAGCCGUCCCAUCCCACACCUCUGUGAACAACCGCCGCCGGCGUCCAGCCGGCGACAACCUUUGCACCUGUCGUCCUACGUCUGGAAAGUAAUACAAAAGAGUACAACUCUCAACGAUGGAUCUCUUGGCUCUCAAACUUGGUCAUUUAGAGGAAGUAAAAGUCGUAACAAGGUUUCCGUAGGUGAACCUGCGGAAGGAUCAUUAUUGUGAACCGGGGCGGCGCGAGCCGUCCCAUCCCACACCUCUGUGAACAACCGCCGCCGGCGUCCAGCCGGCGACAACCUUUGCACCUGUCGUCCUACGUCUGGAAAGUAAUACAAAAGAGUACAACUCUCAACGAUGGAUCUCUUGGCUCUCGCAUCGAUGAAGAACGCAGC
rnacentral:misc_RNA from 1 species